rnacentral:rRNA from 1 species
UAACUGAAGAGUUUGAUCAUGGCUCAGAUUGAACGCUGGCGGCAGGCUUAACACAUGCAAGUCGAGCGGGGGAAGGUAGCUUGCUACCGGACCU